ncrna:unclassified sequences IS605-orfB-I RNA
UCUGUAUAUAACGAUAUUAUAUCCAAGAGAAUAUAGUCGCUCCCUGUACAGAAUAGGUUUUGAGUAAUAUGUUUAGUGAGAUUGAUUUAGUGAGAUAACGAAAGUUAUUGAGGUUGGAAUAUCAUAAAACAGGGAUAACCGUAAGUCCUUAAGAAUUAUUAUUCUUUAAAAUUAAUCUUUUAAAAUUAUGAAAGUCAAAUUUAGUGCUUUUGUAUAUUUUAAGAGUUACGGCUGA